rnacentral:rRNA from 1 species
UACGUAGGGUGCGAGCGUUGUCCGGAAUUACUGGGCGUAAAGAGCUCGUAGGUGGUUUGUCGCGUUGUUCGUGAAAACUCACAGCUCAACUGUGGGCGUGCGGGCGAUACGGGCAGACUUGAGUACUGCAGGGGAGACUGGAAUUCCUGGUUGUAGCGGUUGAAAAUGCGCAGAUAUCAGGAGGAACACCGGUGGCGAAGGCGGGUCUCUGGGCAGUAACUGACGCUGAGGAACGAAAGCGUGGGUAGCAAACAGG